rnacentral:ncRNA from 2 species
UCUGCGAGCUAGGGGUGACCAUUUUGGGCUGAGAUACACCCUUUGCACCUGAUCCGGUUAAUGCUGGCGGAGGAAAGCUGCGGGAGCCGUAA